ACACAGGGAAGAGGCCACAGAGGCCACAGAAGAAAGGAAGCUGUCUGAAUGCCAGGAAGAGAAGACUCAUACAAAUACAUCCUGACUAAUAUGGGCUUACAGCCAUUCCAGAUUCUCUCCACGAGGCUGGUUUUCAUCUUCCUAUAGUGUUACAAGCAUGAUGUCGAUCUCAAUGACUCCUUUGUAGAAAGAGCACAGAGAAGCCAGUGAGAAGCACAUCAAGUUGCUAAAACAGUUCAAACUAUUUUACUGACAUCAGCUCAGCAUGAAAAAAUGAAGUCUGUGAGACAGACUGUCCUAGUGGACUAAAGGAAAAUACUACAAUAGCCACAAGAUUGAAAUGAAGCCUCAGCUCAACAGCUCAAGCAGGUGCAUUCAGUGCUACUUUUUAUAUAAAAUUCACAUCUUCUCUUUCAUUUGAGGAAAUCCAGCAUAGAGUUGGUUUUCCAGUUACAAAAGGAGACUUAUUUUUCUACAUUUUGAACACUGAGGAUGAGAUUCCACUCUGAUCGUGGUGUGAAUAUAAACCAGGAGGAUGCUGACUAGGUGACCAGGUCCCCAGACAAGACUCCAACCACAAGCUUCAGUGACCCUGCUUGGCAGAGCACAGCAUCCAAUACUAAAAAAAGUCAUCUUGAGGCCUGUGCCAUGGGCCUUUGUAAGCAGAAGCACUUCUCUCCUCCUCUACCAGCUUCCAUAUUUCUUUCUGAAGCACUGUUUAAACCUCUAGGCACAUCAUGACUUCAAGAUCCCUUCAAAAUGGUGAGGAUUAACAUGAAAGAAAGACAUACACAGGAUACAGUGUGCCAUCUACUUUGAGAAAAAUCUACUCUGUGGCUCUUCGGGAGUCAUCCAUACCCUACUAUAUUAUCCAGUAUAAAACACAAAACACGUUCCAACCUCAGGCAUUAAGAUGAAUAUUUAGCAACUGUCUGGAAUAAACUCCAACAGCAGCAGUGGCUCCAACAGCCUCUGUAGCUGACACUAAUUUAUUGAGAUGUAUUGGGAGCUCUUGAGAAUGAAGAGUCUGCUAAUUAGGCCACCACAAAAAAGUUCCCAAACUUCGACAAACUUCAGGCAAACAUCUGAUGAAGAACUUUGAUUUAUGAGCUGUCCAGGUGAAACCAAAACAGAUGGUAUCUUUUAAUAAUAACUGACAUAUGAGUUUGUUAAGAAAUUGAAUGGCUUGAAAAUAUGCUGCUUGGUAUAGGAAAAUGAAGAAAGUAUUCAGAGUCAUCUACCUUAUCUUUGUCUUCAACAACAUCUGCUAAGACAUCAUCCGGAUCCAGGAUUCCUCCAUCUGUGUAUUCUAAGUGAUGAAUCUUCACCCAGUAUCCAGGAUCCUGUGGUGGAACAAGUAAAUCUGAUGACUCAAUCUAUUUCUACCAAAGUAAGACACAUUUUAACAGAGAUAAUUAAUCUCAAUAAAGAUACGGUAUAUUUAUUGUUAUAGCUAUGGUUCCUAUUGCUGUGAGAAAAUACCAUAUCCAAAACUAAAGUGAGGAGUCAAAGGUUUAGUUUGUCUUACAACUCUCAAGACACAAUUAGUCACUGAUGGAAGUCAAAGCAGACACUCAACAGGACAGAAGUCUGGAAGCCGGACCUGAAGCCGGAGACUGUGAAGCAGUGCUGCUUACUGUCUUGCUCCCCAGAACUUGCUCGGCCAUAGCUUGCUUCUUAUGGCACUCAAAACUACCUGCCCCAGAGGAAGGUGCCCUUAGUGAGCUCGGCCCUCCUACAGUAAUAAAUAAUCAAGAAAAAGUACUACUGGCCUUCCUACAGGCCAAUCUUAUAGAGAUAUUUUUCUCUAUCAAAGUCCCUCUUCUCACAUAUAUCUAGAGUUGUGUCAAGUUGGAACACCAAUAAAACUUUUAAC
rnacentral:lncRNA from 1 species